rnacentral:misc_RNA from 1 species
AACAAACACAUAUAUACUGAUCAAAUUCCUUCCCCAAAAUCACUUUUCAGAUCAAUUUUGAAGCAUCUCUGAGGUAAAAGGAGAUUGAAAAACUUCACGCUUGUGUAGGUAAAAUACCUUUAUAUGGGUUGAAGGUUGAAUUUUUUCAGCUGUUUGUUUUGGGAAAAUCAGCAGAUGGGUAUUGAGGAUAUGGGAGAAAUUAGGUGAUUCCAAUAAAGAGUCUUUUGAAAUUUUUGGAGUUUUUUUUGAAUUGGAUUUGUUAAGAAAUGGAGUCAAAUAUUAUAUCAGAUAUGCGGUUAGAACCGAGCAUUGAUACAGAUAAGCUAAGUUACGAGAUUUUCUCUAUUCUAGAAAGCAAAUUCUUAUUUGGUUACGAUGAUCAAAAGCUUUGGGUACCAAAAAAUUUACCGUCUCCGGUUGAAGAUGGCAAAAACGACGGCGUUUUAACCUCCACAGCGACGGAAAAUAUUCAGGCGAUUAAGAAUCAACGAGGAAAAAUAUGUAUCCUCAGCAUUGAUGGUGGUGGAAUGCGAAAUAUAUUAUCAGGUAAAGCUUUAGCGUAUUUGGAACAAGCGUUGAAGGUUAAAUCGGGGAAUCCAGAAGCUAGAAUCGCCGAUUAUUUCGACGUUGCUGUUGGUUCCGGCGUUGGAGGAAUUUUCACGGCGAUGUUAUUUUCAACGAAGGAUCAAAACCGUCCUGUUUUCCAAGCUGAAGAUACAUGGAAACUUCUAGAGGAACAAGGUAGAAGAAUUUAUCCUUCAAAAGGGUCGACUUCUGCCGGAAAUGGUUUUCUCCGGCGAGUUCUCCGAGGUGGCGCAACCCGUUCUGAUGCUUCCGGUUUAGAGAAAGUGAUGAAAGAAGCAUUUAUGGAUAAAAAAACCGGUCGAAGCCUUACGUUAAAGGAUACUCUUAAACCGGUUUUAAUCCCCUGUUAUGACCUUUCCAGUACUGCACCGUUUUUGUUCUCCCGAGCUGAUGCUUUCGAAUCGGAAAGCUUUGAUUUCCGGUUAUGGGAAGUUUGCCGGGCUACAUCAGCUGAACCGGGACUCUUCGAACCGGUUUGUAUGAAAUCCGUCGAUGGAAAAACCGGAUGCGUGGCGGUUGACGGCGGUUUAGCAAUGAGCAACCCGACGGCCGCCGCGAUUACCCACGUUCUUCAUAACAAACAGGAAUUUCCUUUCGUUAGAGGUGUUGAGGACAUUUUGGUUCUUUCACUUGGAACAGGGCAGCUUCUAGAAGGAAGCUUCCAAUAUGAACAUGUUAAAAAAUGGAAGGCUAAGGACUGGGCUAAGCCAAUGGCCCGAAUCUCCGGCGAUGGUGCCGCCGAUAUGGUGGAUCACUCCGUCGCCAUGGCGUUUGGGCAAUGUCGGAGUAGUAAUUACGUCCGUAUUCAGGCUAAUGGAUCGAGCUUCGGUCGUUGUGGGGUGAACAUAGAUGCUGAUCCAAGUCCUAACAAUGUGAAAAAGCUUGUGGGAAUUGCAGAUGAAAUGCUGAAACAGAAAAAUGUAGAGUCCCUACUAUUCGGUGGUAAGAAAAUUGCAGAACAAAGCAAUUUCCAGAAACUUGAUUGGUUUGCUGGAGAACUUGUACAAGAGCAUCAGAGGAGGAGUUGCAGGAUAGCUCCCACUGUUGCAUUUAAGCAACAUCUCACAAAUCAAGAAAAAUAAAUGAAAAGAUCAAAAAAGAAAGAUUUGGUAAGUUUUCUUUCUAUCCCAUCUUUCCCAUUUUGUAUGAUUUGUCCACUGCCAUCAA